rnacentral:rRNA from 1 species
GUAGGGAAUAUUGGGCAAUGGGUGCAAGUCUGACCCAGCCAUCCCGCGUGCCGGAAGAAGGCCCUCAGGGUUGUAAACGGCUUUUGACGGUGAAGAAUCGACAGGAUGCGUCCUGUUUUGACGGUAGCCGUUGAAUAAGCACCGGCUAACUCCGUGCCAGCAGCCGCGGUAAUACGGAGGGUGCGAGCGUUGUCCGGAUUUAUUGGGUUUAAAGGGUGCGUAGGCUGGAAGGUCAGUCAGCGGUGAAAAGCUGUCGCUUAACGAUAGUCUUGCCGCAGAUACUUCCUUUCUUGGAUGAGGAGGAGGCCACUGGAACGGAUGGUGUAGCGGUGAAAUGCAUAGAUAUCAUCCAGAACACCGAUUGCGAAGGCAGGUGGCUGUACCUUAAUCGACGCUGAUGCACGAAAGCAUGGGGAGCAAACAGGAUUAGAAACCCUUGUAGUCC